AGCGAACGCUGGCGGCGUGCCUAACACAUGCAAGUCGAACGUGAAAGGGAGCAAUCCCAAGUAAAGUGGCGUACGGGUGAGUAACACGUAGGUAAUCUACCCCAGAAUCUGGAAUAACCGGCCGAAAGGCUGGCUAAUACUGGAUAGAGCGACGGAAUCCGUAAUUGGGUUUUUCGGGAAAGGGAGCCUGUAAAAAGGCCUUCGUUCUGGGAUGAGCCUGCGUCCCAUCAGCUAGUUGGUGAGGUAAAAGCUUACCAAGGCAAUGACGGGUAGCUGGUCUGAGAGGACGAUCAGCCACACUGGAACUGAAACACGGUCCAGACUCCUACGGGAGGCAGCAGUGGGGAAGCUUGCGCAAUGGACGAAAGUCUGACGCAGCAACGCCGCGGGAGUGAAGAAGGCCUUCGGGUUGUAAAGCUCUGUCGAGUGGGACGAAAAUGCUUGGAGUUCACAGCUCCAGGAACUGACGGUACCACUAAAGGAAGCACCGGCUAACUCCGUG
rnacentral:rRNA from 1 species